CAUUAUUGUUAUCUUAUCAUCAUAAUUACCAUUAUUAUAAUUUUUGAUAUCAUGAUCAUUAUUAUAAUUAGUUAUUAUUAGCAUAACUAUUCCUGUUUGUAUUAUUAACCUUAUCAUCAUUGCCGUUACAAAUAUUUGCUGUCUUCCUCUUGUUAUUGCUACAUCUUUAUUGUGUUACAAUCACCAACUUUUCAUUAACAUCUGUGUCCAUUUUUAAAUGUAAGUCACAACAUGCUCCUCCCCCCUUUCCCCGAACAACAUAUAAAAGCGAUUUUUGAACACGUUCGAUCUCAAGCAGCCGCCGCGACGCCCUCAAGCCGCCCCCUAGUUAAAAGUACCCUCGUGACGUCAUCUUCCCGGGGAGAAUACCCCCUGGCCCGACCGCGAGUCAUCCAACACUGAGAUGAGUCACCCCCUCCCCCCUUCAGCCCACUCGCUCUAGAUGACCGCAACACUAUAUAUGGACUUCGACGGCGAGUCAACAAAAGCAAGCAGGUUCCAGAGCGUCGAUCUGCAAGUCAUCUACAACAAGAGAGCAACACAACGCAAGCAUCGUAGAUCACGUCCACAAGCGCAGCGGACGAUACCCUGCGGUCUCUGCCUGGAAGAUGCACGUGACUCAAUCUCUGCGUGAUGUCAUAACCGCAAGUCUGACGUCAGGGUCACUUUUAUGACGUCACAUGUAUGAAGUGUGACGUCACGGGAAGCUUUUAAUGCUGAUGUUCGUUUAACUUGUAUAAGCCAGCUGUUUUAUUAUACCACAACACUGUAUAUCAUGAAAUCCUACGGUUAGAUUUCCCAUGCAAUUAUAUUUUCUUUGGCCAAUGACUCAGCUUUUACUACGAUGUUUAGCUUGUAAAUAUACGUAGUAAUUAUUACUCUGUGUCAGUUUAAAAACAAAUAUUCCUUUCCUGAUGGCUUCUCCUUGAAAUUUUAGAAGACGCGUGCUUAAUAAUAAUAGAUUUAACAUAUGUGUGACUGAAAUUGAAUUAUAUAUGAAUAUGAGCCUGAAAUACAUGAAGAAGCCAUUGUUA